GCAGUAGCCGCGGUAAUACGUAGGGUGCAAGCGUUAAUCGGAAUUACUGGGCGUAAAGCGUGCGCAGGCGGUUUGUUAAGACAGAUGUGAAAUCCCCGGGCUCAACCUGGGAACUGCAUUUGUGACUGGCAAGCUAGAGUGUGGCAGAGGGGGGUGGAAUUCCGCGUGUAGCAGUGAAAUGCGUAGAUAUGCGGAGGAACACCGAUGGCGAAGGCAGCCCCCUGGGCCAACACUGACGCUCAUGCACGAAAGCGUGGGGAGCAAACAGGAUUAGAUACCCCAGUAGUCCCUGUCUCUUAUAC
rnacentral:rRNA from 1 species